CGAUAACACCAACCAUAGUCGCUAUCCAUCUUUCCGCCCCGACUCCAAUACAUCGCCGCUGCCACCACUACUCCAGCCAAACCCUCACCAACGACCGUCGCUGAGAUUGCUUCUUGGCUCAUUCGAAGAUGUCGCUAAAGAAUCAACAGCAGCUCAGACACGGAAAAGCUGUCACUGGUGGAUCACGACGGAACCAGACGCCGAUUGAAAGCUCAACUGCAGUGCACCGAGACCACAAAGGAGACCCUUCCUCCCUAUGCCGACCCGGACCUCGUUACAGUACAGGUCCAAGGCCUCUCACUUCGACGAUGAGGAGCUGUCACUGAAGGAGGUUACUCCGCCUCCGCCGUCCCACAGAUAUCUUCUCUGCUUGGUGGGUCAUUUCUUCGGAGAAAAGCAAAUCAAUUUUCAAGGCAUGAAACGUACUCUGGCACUCGCAUGGAAGCUAGGACGGAAGACGGUGAUCUCUAG
rnacentral:lncRNA from 1 species